UACGUAGGGUGCGAGCGUUGUCCGGAAUUACUGGGCGUAAAGAGCUCGUAGGUGGUUUGUCGCGUUGUUCGUGAAAUCUCACGGCUUAACUGUGAGCGUGCGGGCGAUACGGGCAGACUAGAGUACUGCAGGGGAGACUGGAAUUCCUGGUGUAGCGGUGGAAUGCGCAGAUAUCAGGAGGAACACCGGUGGCGAAGGCGGGUCUCUGGGCAUUUCCUGACGCUGAGGCACGAAAGCCAGGGGAGCAAACGGG
rnacentral:rRNA from 1 species